CUGUCCAGGGCAGAGUGUGAGCCCAGGCAGUGUGCCUCCAUAGCCCAAGCCCUGGACUUUCGGGGCCUUUGUAACUACAGCCCCUCAAGCGGGAUCUUGGCGUCAGGACCUCAAUGGCAUGCCCCGAGCAGCUCUUCAGAGCAGUGGGGAUGAAGACAAUUCGAGAACUGCUCCCAUCCUGGCAGCUCUAUAGGACUAAUCCAGGACUGAUCUGCCACACAGGACCCAAGUCUGGGACCAGCCAGGAAAUGGACCCGGGUGUUCACGACAAACUCCUACGGGGACCUAGGAGAGAGACCUGAGCUUACUACCGGGGAGAGCAGCUCUGCCGGGUCUGAGGCCUGUAGCCCCUGCAAAGGCUAAGCCUUUCCUCCCCUGCGUCCUCUGCACCCCGGCGCCUAGGAGGGCAGGAGGGGCUGGCCAGGCGACACUGAGGUCCCAACGCCCACAGGCCAUGAUUCUGCACUCCUGUGCGGCCUCCUCAAGGUGAGCAUUUGAGUUUUCCUCCUACGAAGGAAGCCAUUUCUCAACAUGUUGCUACACACGGAUACUAAGAAACACGAACCAAGAGGCAAAUGGGGCACCAGCCACAAAGGGAACAGAACGGAACAGAACGAGGGGAAGGGCUGGUACAGCUCUCUUACGCUGGGAGCGCAGCUCAGAGAAGCUAGAGAAACACUGUGCACAACCUGUACAUCCCCGUCCACAAGAGUGACACAGUGGGAACAACCCACAGACCUGGGAAAGCAGCGCCGAGUGGGUUACGGCAAAACCACUUACGGUACCAUUAAACCGUUGAACAAGUUUACAAAAACACAGGGAGCUUUUCUGUGUUAUUCUACUGAGUGACGAAGGCGGGCCCAAAGAAUCACAGGAGAGAUGCUUACAACACGUUGGCCUCGAAACUGCAGCUAAAAGAAAACAUGGCAGAAUGUCAGCCACGAGCAAGACGCGUCUCAGUGGGAGGGCUACAGAACCAUGUGUAUCCAUCCAUCCAUAUCGAGCACCUGCUAGUCACCCAGCACUGUGCCAGGCCUUCCAGGGCAUCUGGCACAGGGAGCCCCUCCUCCUCCACGACAUGCCUGCCCCCUGGCUUCCUGGUUGUCCUCCUCCUCUGACGGCUCAGCAGGCUCCUUCCCAGGACGCCCACCACCACCUGUAUACCGACGCCGCCUUAACCCUUAACCGGAAACUCUGGACCCCACCCCCCUCCACGAGCUCCAGGCCCAUCUGUGUAACUCGUGAAUGGACAGCUUGCCUGCGUGGCCCAGAGGCACCUCACACUCGGCAGGUCUGAGCCACCCUCAUUCUCUCUUGCCUUUCAUCAUCUAGUUGCCUCCCACUUCCCACUCUCCACUCUUCCUACCAGAACGCUGAUCAUUUGUUGGCCCGUUUCCAGCCUCUCGUGCAGGUAGGCGCAGCUGUAUGACUAACGUCUGGCCAAUGACAUCUAAAUGGAAGCGUCAUAUGGUAAUUGCAAAAAGAAUAGUUAAAGAACACAUCCUUCCCCACUUCCACCCACUCCCUGGAAAGACGAUGUGAUAGCUGGAGCUCCAGCAGCUAUCUUGGGACAUGAGGACAAGGAAUGGCAGAGGGGGUGAGCUGGAAGGAAUGUGACUUCCCGAUGUCUUUGCGGAUCCACUACACCAACCCAGGGCUACCUACCUCCAGACCUCUUUUAUGUGUAAGAAAAUUAACCUGUUCGAAUCACUGUGGUUUUACUUUGCUGAUGUCACUGUGAAUAAAGCUGAAUAUAAUUUUA